UGGAUCCUGGCUCCAUGCCUUCCAAUCACUCAGGUGCUCCACAUGCAGCUGAGCUCCCCUGGGUUGGCCCUGCCUUCCCACCAGGUGCUCAAUCACUGGUUCAGGCCAUGACUUAGCAUUUCUGCUACAACAGUGAAAAGCAGGCACCUAGCAUAGAUAAAUCAACCCAGACAAAAAACAAUGAAACAUUGUUAGAGCAAGGACUUGAACUUCAAUUAAAAUUGCAAAUGACUCUGUACCAUCACCAAAUGCUUAGGAAUAAGACUGCUUGCCUAACUCAAUGCCCCAAAUCUAAACCAAUAAAUUUUCAAGUGCGAUAACUUGUAAAAAGUCUGCCUAGAAGGAAGGUCCAUAUCAUGAACAUUCAAAUAGACCAGCAAGAUGAUGCUAACAGCCUUCUUAUCAAAAGCAAGCCAAACAGAAUGAGUGUGAGAGAGAUGAGCUCAUGCACACUAGACAACAAGUAGCAAGCAUUCAGGAUCCUCAUUUUAGAAAAAUGAACUAUCUAUAACCUUGUUAGCCUCAUCUGGAGCAGAAAAACUUUCAAUAGCAUUAGGAUGGCAGUACUGCAGCAACACUACCUCAGACUUAAAGAAAUAACGAGAAGAAGUUAGAGGAGAUGCACUGGGUCCUGAAGCUCUCUCAUAAAGGAAUAAGCUUUCUGAAUACACCGACUUACAGCACAUGAAAAUAAACAUAAAGCUGGAAAUCCCAUGUUCUGUCAUGGAGAUACUUUCUACUUCUCACUGAGUCAAAAGUGCAUAGAGUCCACAACAGCCUUAUUGCAAUAUUUCAGAAAAUGCUCAUGCAGAAGUACUUGUCUUACAACAUUGCUGAUCUAUUGCACCUGAGAAAGUUCUCUGGGAACCCUAAGGACCAAGAAACCUCCAAAACAACAGACCCUCCAUGCUCCCCUUCCACACUCAUGAUGAAUGUAAAGAUAAAGAUGUAAAGCUGAGAUACCUUAAAUUAGUGCUAGAUGUGGCUGGGUUGAAUGCUAGAAGUUUCCAGAGAGCAUUGAGGGUUUUUUUUUUUUUUUAAUCAAAUGUGCCUUUUUGAAACCAAAAUCUGCUGUUCCUCAUCAAAUAAAACAGUGUCAACUUUUCUGCAAAGCAGAUCUUUGUUCAAGCACAGAAAGAGGUACAAUUCAUCCUGCUGUAUAUUUUAUAUGUGCAUAUAUACUACAGGCUGAGUUUAAUAUGUUAAGUUGACAGAAAGUACCUAAGGAGAUGAUAUUUUUCCUCAAAAUAAAACUUUUUUUUUUUUUUUUUUUUUUUAAUAUUCUUGUUCCUCUUCUCCUGUUUGUCAGUUGAAGAACUACAAAACUACUGUAAGUUUUCUUCUCCAAAACACUAGCUAGAUGACUUCAUUUCUCUUGGCAGUUUUGGGAGUUUGAUCUCUUCACACUUUCACCUUUGUGAGAGUAAUCCCCCCUUCUAGCUGACUCAUUCAAAGUCUACAGAGCAGAUAAAAGAGCAAGCAGUUGAGCCUUGGCCUCCCAAAUCAUUUUUAGCUCUCUAUCUUUCAGCAUAUCUUUUCCUUGAAGAAAGUUUAUACCUUUCCUUACAGGAAUGCAAUUUGUUCUAGGAAAGAAAAGAAAAAAUCAAGACUAACAUGAACAUCUAUUACAGUUCAUCUGUUAGGAUAAUAAAACUUCUAGAGAGGUUAUAAUAGUAGCUUUACCUCAUUUGUCUUUUAAAAUCUCUUCUCCCUGUCUUAGAAGGCAGCAAUAAAAUAAGAUCAUAGAUAUGCUAGGUCAUCCCAGCUCUUACCAUUUGUGUCAUUCAAGCUAGUUUUAAGUAAGGCUAGAGAACAGUUGGUUUUAAAAUUCUGGCUAUUCUCUCUGCAUAGGGUUUGUCCAAAUGUUCGCAAUGUCAAAAAUAAAUAAAUAAAUAAAUCACCUGGGACAUCAUUUUGACUCUAUAUAAAGUGCUCAUUUGGACAAUAUUAACCAUAAGAGUAGAAAUCUUUCUUGGAAUUAAAUAAAUGCAUUUUUUAUGUUGGUGAAAAAAAGACUGAGACAACCUACUUAGAGUACUGAGCAAACUAGGUGACUGGAUGCUCAGCUCACUACCCAAAUUCAGUUUAAGUAGUAGCAAAAUACAAGCUGUUGUAACUUGGGAAAUCUAGAAAUACAGACAUUUUACAAGAAGAUCUGUAGAAAAUUCCGAGUUUUUUUUAGUUAAGGAAAUACUUCUUUCAUGUUCAUGUUAGUUUCAAAACUAUUUACUUCUAUAGUUUCAGUUCAAUAAAACUUUUAGAUAUAGUUACCACCCACUUAAAAACUACUAUAAUGUCUUUUCACUACAUCAAUUAUAAACAUUCUUCAACAGAAUUGUCAGAGAUGACAGGAGAUACUGCAUGAUCUGCUUUUGAAUGUAUUAGUUUUGCUAUUAAUACUAAAUACAGUUGUGUUUUUAAAGUUUUACUUGGAGUUGUUCUUAGUGGUAAUAUUUGUUUUUCUCACCCUAUUGAAGUACACUGGAACAAAGGUAUACCUCUAUCUUCAUGUAAAAUGACAAAUGAUUAUUUAAUGUAAUUGUAAAGGGAACACAUUGAGAACUGAAUGAGUGACUUUGGCAAUGAUUUUCAGAAAAAUCUUUUUGUUCUGUCAAUUACAAAUAAUUUUCCAUUAUUCAUCACUUAAUAUAUUAUUCAGUAAUUUUCCAGAGGAUCUAUCAAUCUCAAAUUAUUUAAUGGUAAUUCUAUGUUGAACAUGUUUCACCUCACAUCAUACUACUGAUAUAGCCUUUUUUUUUUCCCUAGAAAUAAUAACUAAACCAUUCUCUGAAAGAGCAAAUCAAAUAGAGUUUUUUAAUCAACUAAAAGAUGGGAAAAGCCAGAAAGAGGACUAGAACUACAUCCAAUAUCUAAAAAGUACCGAAUCACAUUUAGCAUCUUUGCUCUUUGUGUUUUACUUUGAUCUAUACAUUAUCAGUCAUAAACUUUGGCUAAUUCAAAACAAAAGAGAUUUUUUUUUAAAAAAAAGAAUAUUAAUAUGUUAGCCCAAGAAAUUGCAUCAUUCUUUUAACUGUUUACCAGAUUUGUCUUGAGUCAAGAUACAUUUAAAGCUUAGAUGUGAAGGAAAAUAUACUAUUCCUAGGGGGCACAGAGAACCCAAUAACUUUCUUCUUCAUGCUUAAUAAUCUUGUAUGUGAGGGACCAAUCCAAUUUGUGGAAACGAAUUGUACCUUAGGGAUAUGUUAUUUCAACCCAAACUGAAUAUACUAUUCAUUUUAAAAAGUAGCAAUAAAAAUUAUAUAAGAUGCAAUUCAUUAUUUUUCUAAAUGUUUCGUGAUUCCACUGGGAGGAGAGACUUAAAUAGCUUACAGGAAGCCUACCUUAAUUAGGUUGCUUUUCAAAUCAAAUAUAGUAUAAUUUUAACAUAAAAAUGUCACUCAAGGAAAGUAUUCCAUUUACAAAGAUGAUUAAUAAAGUUUAAAGGAAAAAUGGGGGAUAUAUCCAUGGGUGAUAUGUGAAGGAAUGUGAGAGAGGAAAUGAUGCACAUGUAAAUGGACAUGUACAAAUAUGCAGCUAGCUAUGAGCUAUAUACAGAUAUCUGUUUCAUAUUCAUGCAUGCCUACACACACACAGAGAAGGGCAAUUUGUUACCAAAGCAACCACAUUCAGUUGUUUUUUUGUCCUCCAUCAGAAUUGGUUUGCAUUUUUGUUAAAAUAUUUUAGCUACUAAAAGCUCAGAAGAAUUUAUUGUGUAAAUAUUUAUUUAAGCUCAAAACUCGUUUACUUUUAUAAGAAUCUCUUUUUCAGCUUUAUAAGGGAAAAAAAGAAGAAAAUCAUAUUUGUUUUCAUGGAUUUACAAACAAUAAGACAUUAAAGUUAUAAUUGAGGUACUUUGCCUCAGUGGUGCUGUUAAAAUAUUGAUGUUUAUGCCAUAGAAAUAGUCAUUUCCUUUUCUGUGUAUAGAGAAAUGCUUCAGUUUCUCAGAUCCUCAAAUACAGUAAUUUACAUAAAUAUUGACUUUUAAUGAGGGCUGUGGUCAACGAUUUAAUUUGGGGACUGCAAUUCCACUGUAAUUUAAGAAGCAACAAUAAAAGCUGAAAUUUAGGAGCUUUAAUUCUCAGUGUACCCUUUCGGAAGACACUUAGUACUAAGUUUUAUAAGCCUUCAAAUAGCUUUUAAAUGAAGUACCUGAGUUCCACUAUUACCAUGUACUUGCAGUGCUCCAUGUACCCACCCCCAGUCUUAGUUUCUGAAACCAGGCAGCAAAACUUGAAAAUUCUGGCCUUAUCUUUCCUGCAUCUCAGCUAACCCAGUAGAAAAUAUACCCUAAGAAGAUUUACACAUUUAGGGAUUUACACAUCAUAGGUAACCAUGGCUUGAAUAUGUUGUGUAUAAUCCAUUCACAAUUAAUUUUUCAUGUUAGGCAAUAAUUUCAUUAACCUGAAGAGACAAGUUGACCAAAUAGUGAGUGAGAGAAGCAUGCACUAUAAUAUUCAACUUUUUUCCUUUUCUUUUUCCCGUGAAAAGCUGUAAAAACUUGUGAGUCAAAUCAAACACAGAAUAUAGCGUUCUGUGAUAUGAUCACUCAUGUCUUAUACAAAUUAUUAGCUCACCCUGUAAGGCUGAUCUAUACUUAAAACAAAAUGGAAUAAUGUAUUUUAUUAACAUCUGUUCAUCAGAGACAUUUUUUUCAAUAAAUAACAAUCAUAUAUCCUGCACUGAAAUGACACGUUAAAUGGUUUGGGUCUGUAAACAGUAUUUUAUCUCAUAAAUAGCAAUGGAGAUUUUGUAAUACAAUCUUGCAUACAGCUUGUAUCUUAAUACAUAAUAUUAAGAAGUACUUCACUAGAUCUGUGAAAAAAAUGUUAUUAGUUUUUAUCUUGCUGAGACUCUACAUUUUUUAAAAUCAAUUCUGGGUCAAUCCUUUUUCCAUUUUGGUUAGAACAAACAUCAGAUAUUAUUUUGAAUCAAAUGAAACUUUGUUUUUAGCUGCGUAUUUUUUAUCCUAAAACCUAGUAUUUAAUUUUAAGCAGCUUUCUAAAUGAAAUGUCAUAUAAAAAGAUUAACCACCACCACCAACAAAAACAAACAACAAAAAGUCUUGAUGUAUGUUCUUUUCACAUUUUAAGUCUUUCUGUGAUUUUAGCUGACUUUUAUUGAGGAUACUGCAAUGUACUUGCCACAUGAAUAAUGAUUCAGAACUUUGUGCCAGUCUGUAUAGAACUGCUGACCUUUCACUUAGCUGCAGACACCUCUCUAUCCAUAACCCAAAGAGGGUGACUGUUACUGCCAGUGAGUGAAACAUCAAACAGCAAUCUCAAAAUAUAAGGAUCUAUUCAUAAGGAGAUCUGAAACCUUGAGAAUGUUAGAAAUAACUAGGACUCCCUUGUUAAUGAACAAAAAACCGUUAAUCAGUUCCACAUAGCAAUUUGUAAAGCAAAUAAGGAUAGUGAUGGAUUGUCAUGCACAAGUAUCAUAUAUCCAAAUAAUAAUUACUCGCUUUAUAGUAUAAUAUUCUCUGUGUAUUCAUAUGCAGAUUUUAAACAAGCUACAUCCUUUGUUAGGAUUAAUAUUUGAUGUAUGGAAUAGUAUUUGACAAAUACCAAUAUUUAUAUAUAUAUAUAUAUAUUCCUUUUAAUUUCUCUUCGACAUCUUUUCUGAGUCUGUUUUUAGCAUUCUUUAAACAAUUUACUAAGUUUGUCUAUUCUCUUUGAAAAGCAUCAAAGUGUUUAGGACUUCAGCAUUUUAAACACACCCAAUGGUAACUGUCCCAUCCUUCCUCAGUGGGACUUUCAGCAUGCAGGAACAACUCUUUUGUAAGAGAUGAGAAGAACAGUACCUCAGAGCCCACCAGGAGCUCCUUUACUGUUAGGAUCCAUGCAUAUUCAUUGAUCAGCCAGUCAGUCACCUCUUUCUCUUUGGCACUGAUUGACAUUAUGACCUGAAGGGAAAAACAGAUUUGAUACCAACACAGAAACUUCUAUAGCAACCAGCCAACCUCUUGUGACAAUAAUAGGAGACUAAUCAGUUAUAGCUGAACGAAAUUAAGAGUACUGCUAUUUUACAGAGUUAUAAUGAUGUUCUCUGGCCUAAGGUGAACACAUUUCCCAAAUAUAAUCAUGACAUUACUAAUUAUUCCAAAUCUGCAGGUCUACCCUAUCCCAACUGCUCACAUUUCCUCUUUGUGCCAGAAUUUUCUUCAGGAACAGUUCAAACAACAUCCAAAGCUCCUCUGUGUGGCCCUUCAGCUCCUUGUCUUAUAGGAUAUGUCUUCUUUGUCCCUGCUGCUCGGAUCUCACCCAGUGGCCUGUGGCAGACUCCUCCUAAACCUGGAAAAUUCUCACAGGUUUCUUCAAACACAUUUAGGAAGAAAAUGCAACUGAAAAUGGCAAAUACAAAUCCAGGUACAGGAAUGAGAGGCGAAACUGAAAUUCAUGGAUUAUUAAGUCCUGAAGAUGGCAGCAGAGGGACAAUCUGACAUGGAAGUGCAAUGAAGAAAAGGAAACAAUGAAACAGGAAAAAAACCCUUUCCCUGAGGAUAACAGAUGAAGAGUUGAAGCUCCUUGCAUUCCACUCAAGCCAAAUUUUGGAAGAGGAUUAUAGACUUGGUCAAGAGGGAAAUGUUGGGGAACACUAUCAAGUCUAUCCAUAUAGCACAUUAAAAGACUUUUUCUUCACUUGACUCUGCUAAUCCUGUCAGCCAUUGUUGGUUUUAUGCAUAAUUUUCAGGCCAUGACAGACUUUAAAGAGAAAUGCUCAUAUGAAUUUGAGAAAUUUAUAUGAACUUUUAAUAUUAUCACAAUAGUUUUCUGCAAAACACCAAAGAGUUUCUGUCAGAUACAGUGACAAUUGCAGUUUCCCUUCUAGAUUGUAAACAAAUGUGAUUUUAAAUGAUACCAUCCUAUCCUUUAGACAACUGAUAAAAUUCUUUCCUCACCUCUCAUGUUUCAUUAAGGUGUGUCAUAGGUUUUUUCAAUGCAACAAAAUAAAAAAUCACUACACUGGUAAGAUCAUCAUGGCCAGCUCAUUUAUUUAACCUAUGAAUUUGCAAAAAGAAGAGUAUAAGAGUUCUCAAAAUAUAAAGUCUUACUUAUAAGGACAGUGAAUGAGG
ensembl:lncRNA